UACGGAGGGGACUAGCGUUGUUCGGAAUUACUGGGCGUAAAGCGCACGUAGGCGGAUUUGUAAGUCAGGGGUGAAAUCCCGGGGCUCAACCUCGGAACUGCCUUUGAUACUGCAAAUCUCGAGUCCGGAAGAGGCGAGUGGAAUUCCUGGUGUAGCGGUGGAAUGCGCAGAUAUCAGGAGGAACACCAACGGCGAAGGCAGCUCGCUAGGACGGUACUGACGCUGAGGCGCGAAAGCGUGGGGAGCGAACAGG
rnacentral:rRNA from 1 species